AGUUAUUGCCCUUUAUAGUCAAUUUUUAACCAUUUUUCGUAAAUCUUAGUAAUAUUUUACAAAAAUCUUCUCCUCUGAAACUACUGGGCCAAAUUAAUCCAAACUUGGCCACAAUCAUCUUUUGGGUUAGCAGUUUGAAAAAUGUGUCCGGUGACCCGGCCAUCAAACCAAGAUGGCCGCCACGGCUAAAAAUAGAACAUAGGGGGUAAAAUGUUUUUGGCUUAUAACUCAAAAACCCAAGCAUUUAGAGCAAAUCUGACAGGAUUUAAUUGUUUAUCAGGUCAAGAUCUAUCUGCCCUGAAAUUUUCAGAUGGAUCAGACAACUGGUUGUUGGGUUGCUGCCCCUGAAUUAGUAAUUUUAAGGAAAUUUUGCAGUUUUUGGUUAUUAUCUUGAAUACUAUUAUAGAUAGAGAUAAACUGUAAACAGCAAUAAUGUUCAGCAAAGUAAGAUCUACAAAUAAGUCAACAUGACCAAAAUUGUCAGAGAACUCCUUAAGGAGUUAUUGUCUUUUAUAGUCAAUAUUGAACAACUUUUCAUCAUUUUUGUAACUUGUACAAAAAUCUUCUUUUCUAAAACUAUGGGCCAAAUUUAACCAAACUUGGCCACAAUCAUUACUAGGGUAUCUAUUUUAAAAAAGUGUCUAAUGACCCUGCCUGCCAACCAAGAUGGCCAACAUCAGUAAAUAUAGUAACAGGUGAGCGACACAGGCUCUUGAGAGCCUCUAGUUUUA
rnacentral:lncRNA from 1 species